rnacentral:rRNA from 1 species
UACAGAGGUCCCAAGCGUUGUUCGGAUUCACUGGGCGUAAAGGGUCCGUAGGCGGUGUGGCAAGUCGGUAGUGAAAUCUCUGGGCUUAACUCAGAGGCUGCUUCCGAAACUGCUGUGCUAGAGUGCGAGAGAGGCGAGUGGAAUUGCGGGUGUAGCGGUGAAAUGCGUAGAUAUCCGCAGGAACAUCCGAGGCGAAAGCGGCUCGCUGGAUCGCAACUGACGCUGAGGGACGAAAGCUAGGGGAGCAAACAGG